rnacentral:tRNA from 1 species
GCGGGUAUGGCGGAACAGGCAAACGCGCUAGAUUCAGGUUCUAGUGGGAGAAAUCCCAUGGAGGUUCAAAUCCUCCUACCCGCACCA